GUUUCUACAAAGACAUCCGAUAAAAUUGGAACUAUACCAAGAAGAUUAGCAUGGCCCUGCGCAAGGAAUUUUAAUGCGCAUCCACUGUCCACAAUGUU
rnacentral:snRNA from 1 species